rnacentral:rRNA from 1 species
AAUCAACGCUGGCGGCGUGCCUCAGACAUGCAAGUCGAACGAUUAAAGCUCUCUUCGGAGAGUGCAUAAAGUGGCGCACGGGUGAGUAACACGUAAGUAAUCUACCUUCGAGUGGGGAAUAACGUCCGGAAACGGACGCUAAUACCGCAUAACGCAGCGGCAUCGCAAGAUGACAGUUGUUAAAGAUUUAUCGCUUGAAGAGGAGCUUGCGGCAGAUUAGCUUGUUGGUAAGGUAACGGCUUACCAAGGCUACGAUCUGUAUCCGGUCUAAGAGGACGGUCGGACACACUGACACUGAAUAACGGGUCAGACUCCUACGGGAGGCAGCAGUCGGGAAUUUUGGGCAAUGGGGGGAAACCCUGACCCAGCAACGCCGCGUGAAGGAUGAAGUAUUUCGGUAUGUAAACUUCGAAAGAAUAGGAAGAAUUAAUGACGGUACUUAUUUAUAAGGUCCGGCUAACUACGUGCCAGCCGCCGCCGUAAU